GUAGGUGGCAAGCGUUGUCCGGAAUUAUUGGGCGUAAAGCGCGCGCAGGCGGUUCUUUAAGUCUGAUGUGAAAGCCCACGGCUCAACCGUGGAGGGUCAUUGGAAACUGGAGAACUUGAGUACAGAAGAGGAAAGCGGAAUUCCACGUGUAGCGGUGAAAUGCGUAGAGAUGUGGAGGAACACCGGUGGCGAAGGCGGCUUUCUGGUCUGUAACUGACGCUGAGGCGCGAAAGCGUGGGGAGCAAACAGGGAUUAGAUACCCUGGUAGUCCACGCCGUAAACGAUGAGUGCUAAGUGUUAGGGGGUUUCCCGCCCCUUAGUGCUGCAGCUAACGCAUUAAGCACUCCGCCUGGGGAGUACGGCCCGCAAGGCUG
rnacentral:rRNA from 1 species